GAGCUUGCUCUUAUGAAGUUAGCGGCGGACGGGUGAGUAACACGUGGGUAACCUGCCCAUAAGACUGGGAUAACUCCGGGAAACCGGGGCUAAUACCGGAUAACAUUUUGAACCGCAUGGUUCGAAAUUGAAAGGCGGCUUCGGCUGUCACUUAUGGAUGGACCCGCGUCGCAUUAGCUAGUUGGUGAGGUAACGGCUCACCAAGGCAACGAUGCGUAGCCGACCUGAGAGGGUGAUCGGCCACACUGGGACUGAGACACGGCCCAGACUCCUACGGGAGGCAGCAGUAGGGAAUCUUCCGCAAUGGACGAAAGUCUGACGGAGCAACGCCGCGUGAGUGAUGAAGGCUUUCGGGUCGUAAAACUCUGUUGUUAGGGAAGAACAAGUGCUAGUUGAAUAAGCUGGCACCUUGACGGUACCUAACCAGAAAGCCACGGCUAACUACGUGCCAGCAGCCGCGGUAAUACGUAGGUGGCAAGCGUUAUCCGGAAUUAUUGGGCGUAAAGCGCGCGCAGGUGGUUUCUUAAGUCUGAUGUGAAAGCCCACGGCUCAACCGUGGAGGGUCAUUGGAAACUGGGAGACUUGAGUGCAG
rnacentral:rRNA from 1 species